AGACUCACCAUACAGGAAGUAGAGCGGUUUGUCAGAAGAACUGUAGUUCGGAGAUGGUCAGUGGGACAGAAUGGAGAACACCUUGCUCUGUGUGCUACUCUAGAAACCUGUUCUGACCAUCCAGCCCAACAGCACUCUGUACCCUGAAGAGACAGUUACACUGACGGUUACUCUUACUGUCCCUCCAGGUUCCGUUGUCUCCAUCUCUCUGCCCAGGCUGCUGUGUGGUCUACUGGUGAUGUCUCCCUUUCUACUGGUGUCCAUCAUGAGGAUGGCGAAAUGCUGCAGGGCUCGAGGUUUGUGUUCAACAGUCAAAUCUCCUCAAGACCAGAUACCAUGUGAUGAUGUCAUUAAACAGAACGUAUCAUCCGUGUGAUCAUUACAGUACGAACUGUAAGCUGAACAACCACUUUAAUGAUUGUAAAGUUUUUACCAUUGACAUAUGAUAGUGUUUUACUGAGUUUAAUAUCACUGAAUGGAAUUUCACAAAUGCUGAAUGUUAUGAUUUUGUAAGUUGACGUUUUCAGCUUUUGGUGGAUUGUAAGCUUCCCUUUGUUAUUGUUGAUUGAUGUAGAUUUUGAUUCAAAUAUUACACUUAUCUGUCUUUAUUUCCGUUUUUUAUUGAACAAUAGUGUAGUUCCUGCUGCAUGUGUUGUAUUUUAAAUAAUCUCAUGCUUUUUACAUGCAGGUGGAUAUAUACAGUAUGUGAAUCUUUUCUGUUUUUUAUUCUAAUUUAAAUACUAAAGAUGUGUUUAUACCUGGUUGGUCGACCUACUAUAACAGUUAAGAUGGAACACGUAGCUAUAGUUUUAUUAAAAAUGUAUAUUUGCAUAAUGCAGCUUUUAUACUUAUUAUUAUAUAAAAGGUAGACUCAGCGAAAUUACGUUGCCAAGAGUAGCACUACAGAUAUUGAGAUGAGUGAGAUGCAAGACUUCACUCUCACACAGCCACAGACAGUAUCUGCACAUAUGCACGGGUUCACUUCACGUUCACAGUCUGGUAGUCUCCGGACCAAAACAGAGGAGAAGUUGAGCCUCAUGCUUCAACGUUCUUAGUUGUUGUGGAAAUUGAAUCACUCUGCAGUUUACUUUCUACAUCUACGUCAAAUUGCCGAGUCUACCUUUAAACUCCACUUACUUUUGACUUAUUUUCAUUUUCAAAUACUGUCUAAGUAUUUUGUAAAAAGGUUUUACAGCAGAUAUACAUUUCCAACAUGUAAGUAUUUUGUCAAAUGGUUUCAGUAGUUGUUUUAGGAGCCAGAUGGGUGUUCCACUAUGGAACUUAAAAUGGAGAAGGUAUGAUGUGUUUUGUAUUAAUUCUCAUAUAUCAAAUAAAAAGUGAUGAUUCACCUCAUCAUUGUA